AUUUCUUGCGGACAGAAUUAGAACAAGUUGGAAAGCUUGACCAAAGAGGGUGACAGUCCCGUAUAAGUAAAGGAAGAUAAGAAUAGUGGUAUCCUGAGUAGGUCGGGGCACGUGAAACCCUGAUUGAAACUGGCGGGACCAUCCGCUAAGGCUAAAUACUCCUGAGAGACCGAUAGUGAACCAGUACCGUGAGGGAAAGGUGAAAAGAACCGUGAAUAACGGAGUGAAAUAGAUCCUGAAACCAUACGCCUACAAGCGGUCGGAGCCCUUAAGUGGGGUGACGGCGUGCCUUUUGCAUAAUGAGCCUACGAGUUACCGUUGCUGGCAAGGAUAAGUGGUUAAGCCAUGGAUCCGUAGCGAAAGCGAGUCUGAAUAGGGCGCUUUAGUCAGUAGUGGUAGACGCGAAACCGUGUGAUCUACCCAUGGGCAGGUUGAAGUUUAGGUAACACUAAAUGGAGGACCGAACCGGUUGACGUUGAAAAGUCUUCGGAUGACCUGUGGGUAGGGGUGAAAGGCCAAUCAAACUCGGAAAUAGCUCGUACUCCCCGAAAUGCAUUUAGGUGCAGCGUUAGUUAUAAAGUUAUAUAGAGGUAGAGCUACUGAUUGGAUGCGGGGGUUUCACCACCUACCAAUUCCUGACAAACUCCGAAUGCUAUAUAAUGUUCACUAACAGUGAGGGCAUGGGUGCUAAGGUCCAUGUCCGAGAGGGAAAGAACCCAGACCAUCAGCUAAGGUCCCCAAAUGUAUACUAAGUUGAAAAAACGCGGUUUGUCUGCCCAGACAGCUAGGAUGUUGGCUUGGAAGCAGCCAUUCAUUUAAAGAGUGCGUAACAGCUCACUAGUCGAGCGGACGAGCAUGGAUAAUAAUCGGGCAUAAGUAUACUACCGAAGCUAUGGAUUUACAGACAAGGGUUUGUAAGUGGUAGGGGAGCAUUCUAAU
rnacentral:rRNA from 1 species